rnacentral:rRNA from 1 species
UACGUAGGGUGCAAGCGUUGUCCGGAAUUAUUGGGCGUAAAGAGCUCGUAGGCGGUUUGUCGCGUCGGCUGUGAAAACUCGGGGCUCAACCCCGAGCCUGCAGUCGAUACGGGCAGACUAGAGUGCUGUAGGGGAGACUGGAAUUCCUGGUGUAGCGGUGAAAUGCGCAGAUAUCAGGAGGGACACCGGUGGCGAAGGCGGGUCUCUGGGCAGUAACUGACGCUGAGGAGCGAAAGCGUGGGGAGCAAACAGG